rnacentral:lncRNA from 1 species
GAGUUGAGAAAAUCUGAGACAGCGCCCAGAGUUUAAUCCAGGAGAGCUGACAAGCUUAAAUCCAUCUUGCCCUCUGAUUUUGUGUGGCCUCAGAUAAGUACUCUUUCUGUCUCCACUUAUCCUUUUGUAGUAUUGAUGUAGUAAAGAUUUGCAAAGUGUUUGUGUAACUUUUUAAAGCAUUGUGCCUAAAAUAGAAGCAAAGUGAAUGGCACAGGAGCCAUAUUCUGUGUUUUCUUUUGAUCUAAGGUUCAUUGCUUCAGUUGAUAAAAAUUUGAAGUUUUAUGUCAUAUGCUUUUCUUUAACAUUGAGGCAACAUUCAGCUGAUUGCUGUAGAAUCCUUGCCCUCACUGAUCUCACGCUGUAGAAUGCAGACAAGUAAAUAGGCAUCAUCAGUAGUAUAAUGAGGGUAGACUGCUGAAUACUGUGAAGUCUCGUACGGGUGGAAUCCCCUACUCACCUGGGAGGAAUGGAAAGGGACUGGAGAAGCAAUUAGCUUUAAUAAGGAAAUUGGGGAAGGGCCUUCCAAACAGAGGAAGCAGUAAGUGCAAAGGUUAGAAGGCAAACUCCAGAGAGGUUGUUGGGUGAAGACCAUAAUGCUAUUUAGGAGAACCUAGAGAUGUUCCUGAAGAGAUCUAGUUGAAGGCCUUGAACGCCGUGUGCAGAAAUUAGCUUUUGAAAGCUAAGAGGAAGCCACUGAAAGAUUUUAAGUAGAAGCAGCAUGGAAUUGGAUUUGCAUUUUAGGCAGAUCACCAUUAUACAGAAAUCAGAGGCAUGGAAAACAGUUUGGAGAAAACAGUAAUCUGUGAGAGAGUAAUGACUUGGACUGAGAGAGUGGCAAAUAGGAGUGAAGAAUAGGACCAAAGUGGUUAUUGAGAGCUUGGUGAUUUGGUUGACUGAAUAAGGGAUGACUGAGAGGGAGAUGUCAAAGAUGACUCCCAAGUUUGUUGGGGGAGCAGCUGGGAGGGCGGUAAUGUCUUCGUUGAGAUUAGAAACAAGAGAAGAGGCAUACAUGUUAGGGAAGGAAGAAGGUUCUCUUUUGACCAUGUAGUAUUUGAAGUGCUUGUGAGCUAACCAAGCAGAUAUGUGUAGUAGGCAAUUAGGUAUUCAUUCAUUUAAGUUGUUUUAAGAACACUGGUCUGUUCUGCACACUGGAACAGAUUAAACAGCAACAAGAGCAGUAAGGUUCCUGCUCCUGUUUCUAGUGGAGGGAACAGACUAAACAAGUUUUACCAAAAAAAUGAGAAUAUUACAUAAUAUGUUCUGUGAAGAAACUAAAAGGGUAUUUGGAUAAAGCCUUUCUUUGGGGAAGAGAACAGGCACAUUUUUGGUUGUUGGUCAGAGAUGGCCUCACUGAGAAGGUAUUCACUAAGACCUAAAUGGGAAUGAGUUAAAAGCAGUAUUCAAGAUCAGAUGGACUAUCAGGGCAACACCUAAGGCGAGAGUUUGUUUUGUUUAGCAAGGAGGGCGUUGUGGAUAGUCUAGAGAGCAAAGAAGGGAAUGGUAGAAGAUGAAGUCUUGUAGCCUUGGUAAGUUUAAGUGCUCUAGAAGCCCCUGAAAGCUUUUAAGGAAUGGAGUAACAUGAAUAGUAGCAGGAGAGGUAAAAUGGAUGGAUUGAAGAUCUAUGUUGUGAUUAGGCCCAGCUUGUAUUGCUGAAGAAUCAAACAUGAGUGAGGGAAAGGGAGCAAUCAAGAAUGAUUCCUAGGUUUGGGGCAUGGUUGUCUAGGCCAGCAGUGUCCAAUGUAAAUAUAACACGAGCCACAUACGUAAUUUUAUAGUACUAACGUUUACAAAGUAAAAAACAAAAGUUGAAAUUAAUUUUAAUACUGUGUUUUAUUUAACUCAGUAUAUCCAAAAUAGUAUCAUUUCAAAUGUGAUGAAUAUUUAAAAGUAUUGGGCUAGCCCUGGUGGCCCAAUGGUUAAGUUCAGUGUGCUCCGCUUCAGUGGGCUGGGUUCAGUUCCCAGGCAUGGACCUACAGCACUGUCUGUCAGUGGCCGUGCUGUGGCGGCUCACAUUACAGAAAAAAAAGAGGAAGAUUGGCAACAGAUGUUAGCUCAGGGCGAAUCUUCCUCAGAAAAAAAAUAUAUAUAGAUUGAAAAGUAUUAAACAUUUUUAAAUGUUUUACAUUCUUUUUCUCAUUACUAAGUAAGUGUUUGAAAUGUGUGUAUUUUACACUUAGAGCAUAUCUCAAUACUUGAUUUCAUAAAAUUUACAAUUAAAAAGUAGAUUUCACAUACUCAGGUCUUUCCAAACAUAGUUAAAAGUUUUUCCAGUAAUUGAGUUAUGUAUCAGAUUUUUAAUUUAAUUUAAUUUUUUUUUAAGAUGUUAUUUUUCCUUUUUCUCCCAAAACCCCCUGCCCCCCAGUACAUAGUUGUGUAUUUUUAGUUGUGGGUCCUUCUAGUUGUGGCAUGUGGGACGCCACCUCAGCAUGGCUUGAUGAGCUGUGCCAUGUCUGCACCCAGGCUGGUGAAACAGGCGAAACCCUGGGCCACCGAAGCAGAGCGCGCAAACUUAACCACUCGGCCACAGGGCCAGCCCCUAUUUAAUUUUAAAUUAAAGUUAAGAUUAAAAUUUCAUUUGCUAAAUUAGCCAUAUUUCAAGUGGUCAAUAGCCACAUGUGACUGGUUGCUCCUAUAUUGGACAGUACACUCUAGUGGAAUAGAGUACUGGAAAAUUAGAUUUAAAAAGUUGUGUGAAACCAGGCUGUAAAGGAUUGGGAUUUUACCCUAGAGGCAAGGGAAGCAGAGGAUGGUUUUUGAAGCAGGAAGUGACACAACUUUGUGCUUGAGGCUAGAAAAAGGCCACUAGGUGGCCAACUGGUGACUCAGGAACAAGAGCAACCCUUCAGUUGAGUCCACACAUUUUAGGCUCUGACCUCAGCCCUUCAGAAUCAGAAGUCUGAUUUUUGUCAAUGCUCUAGAGCAGUGCCACAAAAAGUAUGGUCCACAGGCCAGUGCCAGUCUGCAUGCCCUUUGUUAUUGGUCCAUGGCAAGGUAUUUACAGAAAUUGAGAGUAAGAAUUUUAAGAGUUUUAUAGCAAUUUAACAUUAAUUUUAUGUCUGUGGAUCUAAGAAAAAUUUUGGUCUCAUUUGUUGUAUAUGUUUUUUUUAAUUUCCCUUUCCUAGUAAUUUAUUUUCAUAUUUUAUAAAAUUGUCUAUGAUCUUUCACCACAGAUAAUUUUUGAAGCACUGUUCUACAGGCACUCAGGUGAAGGCAGUCAGAGGGACCACAUUCUCAGAAGACUUACCUAAAUCCAAAGGCCUUUUCUCACUUUAUAGUUAGCACUAUAGUGACUAAGAGAAGAAUGGACUCUGCUCAGUUUCUCCCUCCAUAUAAAAAUGGAAGAGAGAAUACAUGAAGUUGACUGCAUUACUUCCAGAAGGUUCAUUAGUGAAUUUGAGACCAGAGUAAGGGGAGUUAGUGGUAUUCUAACAGCAUGAGUCAAAUGCAUUCAUUUCUGCAAUAGAACUAUGUCUGCUUUGCUCCUCUCUAGACUUUAUAGAUCACAAAUCAAUAAAAAAUAAAGGAUCUGGCCCCGUAGCGUAGUGGUUCAGUGUACACCACUUCAGAGGCCCGGGUUCGCAGGUUCGGAUCUCAGAUAUGGACCUACAUCAGCCAUGCUGUGGUGGUGACCCACAUAUAAAAUAGAGGAGGAUUGGCACAGAUGUUAGCUCAGGGCUAAUCUUCCUCAGGAAAAAAAAGAAACCCACAAUGAGAUACUUCUGUACGUGCACAAUAAUGGCAAAAAUGGAAAACAGAAAAUGCCACAUAUUGGGCAGGAGUUGAAACAACUGAAACUCUGCAUUGCUGGUGGGAAUGUAGAUUGGUAUAGCCACUUUGGAAAAUUUGAAGUUCAAAAAACAGGCAAACCAAACUAGAUUUAGGAACAUAAUGUUUAGGUAGUAAAAACUAUAAAGAAAAGAAAGGAAAUGGCUAGCUUUGGGUGAGGGAGUAAUGCUUAGACAGGUACAAGGGGACUUCUGGCAUGCUGUCCAUGUCUGUUUCUUGAGUAGGAAUUACAUGAGUUCACUUUGUGAUUCAAUGAGCUGUAGGUUUUGUGGUGGGUGUACUUUUCAGUAUGUGUUGUAUAUCUAAUGGUUUAAAAAAAUUUGCUGGAGUUAACAAGUUAGAAAAUAUGUCCCUGGGCAAUGCUGGAUAUACACUACCAACUACUACUUGCUAACUGAGCCCAUCUUUCUAUAUAUGCAUUACAAAUGUGAAAGAUAAGGUAGGCUUGAAUUCUAGGAGUGGCAAUGGUGAAGGAGAGGAGAGACAGAUGCACAAAAUACUGCAGAACCUGAGGCAGUAUGGGAAGGUGAAGGAGCAUGGCAGUUGGAGUGAGGAGCCCCAAGUUCAAGACUUAACUGGUUUUUAGUCCAGGCUCUAGUCACUCUCUAAGCAUAUGACCUGGCCUAUCUCCUAACUUACCUUAAUUUCAUUUUUCUCACCUGGAGGGUGGGGUUGAUAAAACUGACAAUCUUUCGUUUGUAACCUUUUGUAAGCUAUUGAAAUGCCAUAUAAAAUUUAUAUUGAUGUCUGAUUCAGUGUGAUGGGGAAGGAGUUAAGGAUGAUUGAGAUUUUGAGCCAGAGUGGAGAAGGUAAUGGUGGUAGCAUGAACGAAAUGAAAAAACCAAGAGGAGAAGCAGAUUUGGAGAAAUAUGACAUUCUAUUUUAUACAUGUUGAGUUUAAGAUCAUGCCAGAACAUCAAGAUGGAAUUAUGAAACAGACACAGAACUGAAGAUUUGGUGCUCUGAAAAAAAAGGUCAGAAAUGGUGAUAGGAAAUUAGAAGUUACCCACAUAAGGGUAAUAACUAAAGCCGGGAGAGUGAAUGAGAUCGUUGAGAGAGAACAUAGGAAAACUGAGUACUGAGGACAGAGAAGGAGAGAAGGAAAGGGAGAAGGAAAGGAAAUCAACAUUUACUGAGCCCCUGUUAAACUGUGUGCCAGCUGCUCUACGUUCGUUACCUCAUUUAUUCCCCUCAAAUUCCAGGGUGGCUGUUCUGACCUCGUGUAGCAGACUCUAGACUCACAGCAAGACAAAAAACCAGUGUUUGAAACCAGCUUGGCUCCAGUUUAUGCAGUGCCCUACUCCAUUCCUGGAGAACCAAGUGUCUCUUGCAGAAGCCCAGGGGGAGACUGUGAGUCAAGGAAAGAUAAGCCCUGAGAAAAGACCAUUGGAUUUUUGUGACCAAGGGGUUCCUGGAACAUGGGCAGCACCAAGUGCUUUGGAUCUGAAGGCUUGAGAGAGAGAUGGGAGUAACUCUCUGUGAUUCACAGUGACUUGCUGUUCUUGGCCGCUUGUUUCAUGUACUGCCUGGAACCGCCAUUAACUGCAACCAACGUUUUGUCUGUGCAGUUCCUGUGCAAUUUGGAAACCACGAACUCUUUAGGAAUGGCAGGACAUGCCAAGUUUGCAAUGUAAGGGAGCUUGGGACAACCGUCUACUCCCAAGCUGGUUCUAACAAUGGAGCUUUAAGAAUACUUAUAUAUAGUAUGGCAGCGUUUAACAAAAGACCAACCCUGAAAUGUGUGGAGGGAAGAGACCAGAUUCUACAAGCACUUGGAGUUAAAGCAAGACUUGAAUCCAAGAAAGGGUCCAUCCAUUGAGGCCUUAAGUGGGAUCUGGGUAUUUACACUCCCUUUAUUUCGCCUCACCCACCCAUCCACUCAAUUAAAAAGCACCAUCCUUAGGCAAAUCUAGACUCAACUAUGCUUAAAACUAUCCCUUGCUUAUUAGCCCACAGAGUGAGUCAUGUGAGACAGACUUGCAGCUCCAUGGUACACUUUCCCUGCCCCUGGAUUUCUGCAUCUCCAGGCCAGAGAAAGUUAACCCGACAGAGUUAAAGAGCACAAACUCCACUUUUAUCCACAGAGAUGUCCUUUGACCAGGCAAAAGCACAGAAUCAUUGAAGAAGCUAUACUAUGUUUGAUUCUGAAAAAAGAUUUGGUACUCAAGCCCAAAGAGAUGGAAAACUAGGAAAUGAGAAAUUGAGUUUCAAGUUAGAGAAAGAGAACACUUACAGAUUAUUUAAGGGCAUAAAUUCCAAAACGCCCCACCCCAACCUCCUGAGAAGGCUUUCAGUAGGAUGGGAAGCUGAGAGCUGCUUUUCCCGACCAGCUAACCCACCACUCCCUGCAACAGGCAAACAGUAGGCAAGGUAAUGUAUUAGUAAAACAUUGAAGCCCAAAGUCUUGGUGUAAAUUUAGAUUUUUAAUUUUUCACUUGUACUAAAAAUUGAUUUGUCUGCCCUUCUGCCAUCUGUACAAACAUUCAUGCAGCACCUAGAAGAAGGUACUUAGGUAUCCCUCUUCCCAUUAAACUCUUCAAAUGAAACUCAUUUUGCUUUCUUCUUCCAAGGUACCAUCUUUCUCCAUUAGUACAGGCUCAAAACUCUUCAUUUUUUGUUUAGUUUUUACUUCAUAAUCAUAAACUUAGCUCUGCAGUGCACCUGGAUUUGGAAGGGAAUAAGAACAUGGAACCCAAAGAGCUGCAGUGAGAGUACAAAGAUUAUAGGAUAUAGUGAGCAGAUGAGGGUGGUAGAUGCUCUCCUGAGCUGCAGAAGGAAUGAGCUAGAGGUUAAGAUAAAACGUGUCAAAUUUACUGGAGUUGUCCAUAGUCAGCAACAGUUAGCCUCUUGAUGGUCCUGCCAUUCCUGGACUAAAGCACUCCAUGGCUUCCUCUUCUGCCCUGCCAAAGACCACGUUUGCCAUCCAACUACUCAGUCUUGGCACUGCAGAUGAAAACAGUUCUGGGAACCAUUUGUGUUGGGUCCAGCGUUUGCAAUGAACAAGAAACUGGGACCACAUGCUUCGGGAUGAAACUCUCAUCAUCAAGUUUCUCCCUGCAGGUGGACUUGCUGCCGGUGCCAUUAUGGCAUGUGAAGUCACCACUCUGGAACAUAAACCCUGGAAUAAGUCUGUGACAGCAGGAAACUAUAACUAAAUCCUUUCUCCCCACUGCUCAAGAGCAUGAAAGUUUUCUGCUGCCUUUGGAACUGUGUCUGCAAACAGCUCAAAAGAGAUGGCCUGAGGGCUCGCCAUGGACAUCAAUGUCGGAAGAACACAGUGGGGUUGACCAUAGCUCGGUGGCACUGACAGCAGUGUCUGCAAAGCCAAACAUUCUUCAUUCUUUAAUCCAAAUUGCUUGUCCUCCCUGAAGAGAAAUCUAUUUUAUUUAUACCUUUAUCUCCACAAGCAAGGACUUUACCCUAAAUAAGACUUUAUCACUUUUCUUUCAGAUUAUUGAGUCUUGUUCUCUUUGAAUUUAACCUUCCCUUCCUGCCCCCAGACCAUCCUGCCUG